GAUGAACGCUAGCUACAGGCUUAACACAUGCAAGUCGAGGGCCUGGCGCACGGGUGAGUAACACGUCUUCAACCUGCCCUUUACUCGGGGAUAGCCUUUCGAAAGAAAGACUAAUACCCGCCAUAAAGGAUGGGGAUGCGUUCAGUUAGUUUGUUGUUUCGGUAACGGCUCACCAAGCCUUUGAUGGAUAGCGGUACUUAGAGGAAGGUCCCCCACAUGGGAGCUGAGACGCGGUCCAAACUCCUAGGGGAGGCAGCAGUGAGGAAGACUGGUCAAUCGGCGCUAGCCUGAACCAGCCACGUAACGGAAAGGAUGAAGGCUUAUGGGUCGUAAACUUCUUUUAUAUAAGAAUAUGUAUUAUAUGAAUAAGGAUCGGCUAACUCCGUGCCAGCAGCCGCGGUAAUAC
rnacentral:rRNA from 1 species